rnacentral:rRNA from 1 species
AUACGGAGGAUCCGAGCGUUAUCCGGAUUUAUUGGGUUUAAAGGGAGCGUAGGCGGACGCUUAAGUCAGUUGUGAAAGUUUGCGGCUCAACCGUAAAAUUGCAGUUGAUACUGGGUGUCUUGAGUACAGUAGAGGCAGGGGGGAUUCGGUGUGGUGCGGGGAAAUGCUUAGAUAUCACGAAGAAAUCCGAUUGCGAAGGCAGCUUGCUGGACUGUAACUGACGCUGAUGCUCGAAAGUGUGGGUAUCAAACAGGAUUAGAUACCCUGGUAGUCCACACAGUAAACGAUGAAUACUCGCUGUUUGCGAUAUACAGUAAGCGGCCAAGCGAAAGCGUUAAGUAUUCCACCUGGGGAGUACGCCGGCAACGGUGAAACUCAAAUGAAUUGACGGGG